AUUUAAAUCCACAAUAAAUACACACUUUUACAUCAGUUGUGUUCUCAAUGCAUGUGUGUUUGUCUCACCCUCAAUUAAAACAACAUUAUUAAUUAUUUUUUCAAACUCGUUUAAUAAAGAUCAAAUUUUACACUGUUUCACUCACUUUUAACUGAAAACCCUAAAAAUUUCAGUCUACCCUCUCUCUUCGACCUGUCAUCUCUCUUCGACCGAUCAAAAUCCUGAGAAAUUUCAAGAGUCGAAACAAAAUUGCAACAUCGCGUUUGUAAUUUCUUAAAUUGUGGUGUCGAAACAAAGAAGUAAAGGUGCACAGAGACAGGUUUAAGAGAUCGUCAAUAGGAGCACCAUUGAGGAUCUAUACACACUCAGUGUAUUGGUGAGUCCUCCCCUACAUUCGGAGGACACCGCUUAUGUUAUUCUUGCAUUGAGAUAGCCCUUUUCAUUUUGAUUUGAGGUAGCCAUGAACAUGUCAUUGACACCAAUUAGAUAGUAGUGAUAGAGGCUUCAUAGACUAGAUAGUGAUGGGUCGAUUGAGUAUUUUCUUUCCUUGAAAUUAUUCUUGUCAAACUAAUUUAAAUGACAAAGAUUGGAGUUUGAUUUGUUGGCCCAUG